rnacentral:rRNA from 1 species
UACGAGGGGGGCAAAUGUUGUUCGGAAUCACUGGGCGUAAAGGGAGCGUAGGCGGGUUCUUAAGUAAGGUGUUUAAUCCCGGGGCCCAACCCCGGACCGGCAUUUAAACUGGGAAUCUUGAAUAGUGGAGAGGUCGGUGGAAUUGGGGUGUGAGCGGUGGAAUGCGUAGAGAUCCCCAAGAACACCAGUUGCGAAGGCGGCCGACUGGACACAUAUUGACGCCUGGAGGCUCGAAAGCAUGGGGAGCAAACAGG